AGAGUUUGAUCAUGGCUCACAAUGAACGCUGGCGGCGUGCUUAACACAUGCAAGUCGUGCGCGAAGGUGGCUUCGGCUACCGGAGAGCGGCGAACGGGUGAGUAACACGUGGGUGAUCUGCCUGGAAGCGGGGGAUAACCUGGGGAAACUCGGGCUAAUACCGCAUACGUUGUUGGGGUUACGGCCUCAUCAAGAAAACCGGCCUCUACUUGUAAGCUGGUGCUUCCAGAGGAGCCCGCGGCUGAUUAGCUAGUUGGUGAGGUAAUGGCUCACCAAGGCGACGAUCAGUAGCCGGCCUGAGAGGGUGAUCGGCCACACUGGGACUGAGACACGGCCCACACUCCUACGGGAGGCAGCAGUGGGGAAUAUUGGACAAUGGGCGCAAGCCUGAUCCAGCAACGCCGCGUGGAGGACGAAGGUCUUCGGAUCGUAAACUCCUGUCAGACGGGACGAAGGUUCCAGGGUGAAUAAUCCUGGAGCUUGACGGUACCGUCAGAGGAAGCCCCGGCUAACUCCGUGCCAGCAGCCGCGGUAAUACGGAAGGGGCGAGCGUUAUUCGGAAUUAUUGGGCGUAAAGGGCGCGUAGGCGGCUUGACAAGUCAAAGGUGAAAUCCCUCGGCUCAACUGAGGAACUGCCUUUGAAACUGUCUGGCUUGAGGCCGGGAGGGGGUAGCGGAAUUCCCAGUGUAGCGGUGAAAUG
rnacentral:rRNA from 1 species